UUCACCUGAGACCAGUGACCAGAGAAUGCUCUCUGUUACUGGACACACAUGGUGUCAGCAGAACAGACCAUGGGUGACUCUUACUCCUCCCCUGACCAUGUCAGUCUCCAGGGUUUUGCCUGAUACAUUAGACUUUCUGGUGGUGCCGGCGACACAGAAAAGAUAGU